CGCGAUAUACGGGGGGUGGCCGUGCCGCUACGUCAGGCUCCCCCCGGUCUAGGAUGUUGCUGUGGUAGCGUCUGGGCGCCAUGUUAGAAGGCCGGAGGGGAAGAGGAAAGUGAAGCGGCGGCGGUUGGGCCUACCGAACGGCUUUCUGUCUCCGAGGCCUGAUCCCGGCGCGUAUCAUGGUCACUAUUCCCGUUUCCCAGCGGGACGAGUGACUGGCCCGGAGGCGGCAGUGGUGGGGGAGAACGAAGAAGAGGAGGAGGGAGAAGGGGACGACGCGGUGGUGGUGGUGGUGGUGGCGGCGGCGACGGAGGAGGAGGAGGAGGAGGGGCUGGAGAGACGAUGCCGUUUCCCGUUACAACCCAGGGAUCACAAACACAGCAACUACAGAAGCAUUAUGGCAUUACCUCACCUAUCAGUUUAGCUGCCCCCAAGGAGUUUGACUGCAUACUUACCCAGAAAUUAAUUGAAACCUUAAAACCUUAUGGUGUAUUUGAAGAGGAAGAAGAAUUGCAGCGCAGGAUUCUAAUUUUGGGAAAAUUAAAUAACCUGGUAAAGGAAUGGAUACGGGAAAUCAGUGAAAGCAAGAAUCUUCCACAAUCUGUAAUAGAAAAUGUUGGAGGAAAAAUUUUUACAUUUGGAUCCUAUAGAUUAGGGGUUCAUACAAAAGGUGCUGAUAUUGAUGCCCUCUGUGUUGCACCAAGGCAUGUUGAAAGAAGUGACUUUUUCACAUCAUUUUAUGAAAAACUGAAACAACAAGAAGAAGUAAAAGAUCUGAGGGCUGUUGAAGAAGCUUUUGUCCCAGUUAUUAAACUUUGUUUUGAUGGAAUAGAGAUUGAUAUUUUAUUUGCGAGGUUAGCACUGCAAACUAUUCCCGAGGACUUAGACCUACGAGACGAUAGCCUACUUAAAAAUUUAGACAUUAGAUGCAUACGAAGUCUUAAUGGUUGCCGGGUAACCGAUGAAAUUCUGCAUCUAGUACCAAACAUUGACAACUUCAGGUUAACACUGAGAGCUAUCAAACUGUGGGCAAAACGCCACAACAUCUAUUCCAAUAUACUAGGUUUCCUUGGCGGUGUUUCCUGGGCUAUGCUAGUAGCAAGAACUUGCCAGCUUUAUCCAAAUGCAAUAGCAUCAACUCUUGUACAUAAAUUUUUCUUGGUAUUUUCUAAAUGGGAAUGGCCAAAUCCAGUGCUAUUGAAACAGCCAGAAGAAUGCAAUCUUAAUUUGCCUGUAUGGGACCCAAGGGUAAACCCCAGUGAUAGGUACCAUCUUAUGCCUAUAAUUACACCAGCAUAUCCACAGCAGAACUCUACCUACAAUGUGUCCGUUUCCACACGGAUGGUCAUGGUUGAGGAAUUUAAACAAGGUCUUGCUAUCACAGAUGAAAUUUUGCUGAGUAAGGCAGAGUGGUCCAAACUUUUUGAAGCUCCAAACUUCUUUCAAAAGUACAAGCAUUAUAUUGUACUUCUAGCAAGUGCACCGACAGAAAAACAGCGUCUAGAAUGGGUGGGCUUGGUGGAAUCAAAAAUUCGUAUUCUAGUUGGAAAUCUGGAGAAGAAUGAAUUCAUUACGUUGGCUCAUGUGAAUCCACAGUCAUUCCCAGCACCGAAGGAGAAUCCUGACAAAGAAGAAUACCGUACAAUGUGGGUGAUUGGGUUGGUGUUUAAGAAAACAGAGAAUUCUGAGAAUUUAAGUGUUGACCUUACCUAUGACAUUCAGUCUUUUACAGACACAGUUUAUAGGCAAGCAAUAAACAGCAAGAUGUUUGAGAUGGAUAUGAAGAUUGCUGCAAGGCAUGUGAAACGUAAGCAACUUCACCAACUGCUACCUAAUCACGUGCUUCAGAAAAAGAAAAAGCAUUCAACAGAAGGGAUCAGGUUGACAACUCUGAAUGACAGCAGCCUAGACUUGUCUAUGGACAGUGAUAACAGCACGUCUGUGCCUUCACCUACUAGUGCUAUGAAGACGAGUCCAUUGAACAGUUCUGGAAGCUCUCAGGGCAGAACCAGUCCUGCGCCAGCUGUAACAGCAGCAUCUGUGACCAACAUACAGGCUUCUGAAGUCACUGUGCCACAAAUAAAUUCCAGUGAAAGCUCAGGGGGUACUUCAAAUGAAAGCAUUCCUCAAACUGCCACGCAACCAGCCAUUUCUCCACCACCAAAGCCUACCAUCUCUAGAAUUGCUUCCUCAGCGUGUCUAUUAAAUCCAUCACCAAGAACUUCAGGAAAUGUUGCAACAAAAAUGCCUAGCCCUGUCACAGCAGUGAAAAGGACAUCAUCUCCCCAUAAGGAAGAGUCUCCUAAGAAAAUAAAAAUUGAAGAGCAGGAUGAAAUAAGCGAAGAUACUAGCUGUAUAGAUUUCAAUGAAAAUGAAAAAAUGGACAUUAAGGAGCAACUUGAGACAGAAGUGAAUGUUAAUUCUCAAACAGAAACUCUUCAGACAACUUCUCUGCAAGCUCCUCAGAUGGUCAUUGAUCUUAAUGAAUGUGCAUUGUAGCUAAACAUGUAUGGCUUGCCAUACAAACUGACUGAAGCUGGAUUCGCUCUUCUGAAUUGUGCCUUCAAAAAAACACCCAGUACAGACCUUUCAGAUAUCCCUGCUCUCCCUGCAAAUCCUAUUCCUGUUAUCAAGAAUUCAAUAAAAUUGAGAUUGAAUCGGUAAAAACAACCUCAGGGGUCCAUAAACAAUAUCUGCCAACUCAACCUGUUGUCUUCUAAUCCUAUUAAAAAAGGAGAAUGGAGAGUGCAAGACUAGAACAUAAUUGCAAAUGGAUUUAGGUAUAUUUUGUGCACUUCCCUUUCUGGGCUAAAAUCACCACUUGAUUGGAAGUCCAGGUUAGUAUGUGAAGCCAGGAGUACAAUUAAUGUGUUAGCAACAGUUGCAUUAAGUAUUUCGAAGGAUUACUGCCUUUAAAAACAUGAACACUAUUUGUAGCCAUAUUUGACAUUCUGAUUGAAUUUGUUUGAUGCAUUGUUUCAAAAUUGAGAUAAAACUGGCAUAAGAAUCCCUUAAAUGCACUUUUAUGUAGUUUUUUUUAUUGGAAUAUGACUAAUUUUAGAUCUUAGCUCUGAUACACUUUCAUUUUAUUGAAGAAUAUCUUCAGUAGUGCAAAUUGGAUGAUGUUCUACAAUAUACUAUGCAUUGAAAACAAGUGUGUAGUAUAUCUAGUUCAACUGCCAUCAAGCAGCAGUAAGCCUUUAGAAUGAAAUGUCAAAUGUUGAGGUUAUAAGACAUAAGUUGAGGGAGUAAUUGGGAAGUUUUGGUAUUGGUGGGACUGGGACAUGAUUAAGAUGUGGUCUACUUUUUAUUUAUAGGAUUGUUUUAAGGUGCAUACAGAUCAGCAGUGAAACAGCAAAUAAACUUUCCUUUGAGCUAAUCAAACUCUUUAUUACCUUUUUUUGAUCCCUUUAUUUCUUGGGAAAAGCUUUUGCGUUUAAUGGUGGGUGGGGUUUUUUUGUUCAUGUCUUUUUUUCUUUCCUCUCCAGCUUGUAUGCACCAUGUAUGACAGUGGUUAUUUACACAAAAAAAAACAAGCCAUGUAUUCAUUUGGAUUCCCUCUUGCUCCUUACCUUGUCGUAAUACCUUUUGGCCUGUAGGCACAAAUUCAGAAUUUUGUCUCAUGACUAAAGUGUUUAAGUAAAUAUUGUGUGCCUGUGAAAUACAACACCCGUCUUGAUGGCCUUUGAAUCACUAAAUAUAAGGUGAUUUUUCUACACUCCAUGAAAGUCCUGUAUGCAUUAAAAAGCUUCAAAUUUUAAAUAAAGGCAAAAAGAUUUUUCCCGAAGAAUUUUAACCUUUUUAUUUUUAGGUGGCUCAUCAAAAAUAGUUUUACAUACUGAACAAUGCUGAAUUUUUAAAAAUCAUAUUUCUAGUAAGCACUUGACAUCUAGUAAGCUCUAGACUCCUGUUUUUUUGUUAUUGUAGUCCUAUCAAUAAAGUAACAACUUUUUCUUUUUGAAAGAACUAAAUCUCUCAUGGCAAAGGAACAUGAGGGAUACCAACAGUAAUACCAGAUGUAGAUAACAAACUUCAUUUUACUGUUACUUAAGUCUGGAAUGUGGGAUGUCAAAUCAUACUUCCCAUACUUUGAUUAGCAUGUUUUAUGAACUUCCUUCUCUCUUUGUGCUCCAUCCUCUUACACGUGCAUCUUUCAUGUUAAAAUUGAAUUACUUACACUCUUCCCCUUAUCCUUCUAAAUUAAUUCUCCAGAGUCAGAGUGUAGCUUAUCUUUUACUUAGGCUGUGCAGUAACUGAAGGUUUUUUUUUGCCAUUUGUCUAAGAUGUCUAGUAUACAAUAUUUCUCUUUUCCUUGCCCUGUGCAGCCUGCUGUCGUCCACCCCCAAAGAAGGUUAUAUUAACAGUUGAAGUGUACAAGGUGUCUGUGUAUUUUGUGUAGCUAUGGAGUUUAGAUCGAAAUUGCCAGGCACAAAUUUAGUCUUGUCGUUUUGUUUACACAUCAGAAAAUCUUUUUCAUUUUAUUAAACGUUUCAUGUAACUGCACCCAAGUUUUGCCAAGCUGGAAACUUGGAACCUUUCUGUAUAGUGACUUUUUAAUUCUAGUUUUCAUAACCUGGAGAUCAGACUGUUGCUUUCGCAUGAUGUACGUAGUGUCUCAUGACUGGAGUUUGCUUUGUUUUAUAGUAUCUGUACUCCUUGUAUUUUUCAAGAGCUAUUUUGUAAACAGAUGAUGUAUUUCUCCAUUGAAAACACAAUAAAAAACAGCACAAUCCCA